rnacentral:lncRNA from 1 species
GAACUAGGCCUCAUAUUUUUAUAUGUUUUAUUAUUUACAUAUAUAUUAUCCAGAAAUGUAUUCAGGGCAGGACUGGUGUAUUUCUGUAAAGUAUUUGCGAAGAUAAUUUUGAAGCCGGCCACGCCAUUUCGAAAAUAAUCAAUCUUAGGUUGUAGGGAUUCUUUAGUAACGAAAAUGUGUUUUCAUCCUUAAAAAUAAAAAUUAAUAGUGAAAAACUAUUAUCAUAGCCUAAUAUUGCUUCUUUGAAUUUCGAAACCACCAUGCUCCCAAAGUUGUCAUCCCGCCGGACCUGCCAAAGUUAUACCACGAAUUCUCGAAUAAUACCAGUGGUGUGGGUUUCAAAUCAGUAGCAGUCAAUAUCAAAAUUGAAUGGUCUUUCAUAUCUUAUGUGUUUUUUGCAUUUACUAAUGCUCAAAACUAGAAUUAAUCCAUGUUGAAUACAUCACCACCAUUGGUGUUCUUUGUCACCCUGUUCCACUAAAUUUAAUAUUGUUUAAAAACAAGACCGAGUCGGCAUCUAAAUAAACCACCAAAAUGUGCAAAAAUGCACAGACUAUAACAUAUAAAAGUGUUAAAGCUCAGCUAAUUGGGGCUCAUUGUCAAUUUUCCUUCCAAAGUUGAAAUUUAAAGUUUUGGGUACCAAACAGUCUUGAACAAAAACAUUCAUAGUUGGUAAACCUACCGCAGAUGGGCUCAUAAAAGUUGUUCAUCAUAAUAAAAAUUAAAUUUUCUUUCCCGAUAAGCAUGUUUUAUUGCAGUUUCGGUGUCAUAAGAUAUAUUUUUUUGGUCUAGAAUGUGAGAGCUUCCUUGCUGCCAAAAGUCACACUGUAACAAUCAAUGGAAUAUUACUAAGAAAUAAAACCGAGUCGGCAUCUAUUUAUAGUACAAUAAUAUACAAAAUUAAAUUUUCUAUCUGCUGGUGUAAGGUUUUAUACAAAAUAAAUUGGGGCUCAGUACGAAAUUCGAUGUUAAAAACUGCAGACCAUGAUUAUCACCUGCAGCUGCGCACAGUUUACUGUACUGCUAUCGCUAGCGAACGCCAGCGCUCUCAUUUGAUUGGUUUAACGGCGUGUUCGUUGCUGACGGAGAACAUCCCUGAUUUUUGAAUUUGUUUUGAUUAGUCCGAUUAGGCACAUUGGAAUUCGGUUAAAAUUCAAUUUAAAAUUGUGCAGCUUGUUGAUGGUAGAAGUUGUGAAGUGCAUAACAUAAAAGAGUUGUGUAGAGAUUGUAUGGGGUGUUGGCGUUUUUGUAGUUUCCUUUUUCUUGUGCUCUUUUGAGAUCUUUGUAGGGGUUGGAAAUUUGGAAUCACAAUGCCACCAGGAAACAGUGUUAUUUUGUUUUCAUGCCACAGUUAUGGGCAACACGGCAGGGCAAAGUUUGCCUCAAGUCCUGGCUCGUUCGUAGCCUUGAUUUGCAUUCAAGAAAGCAGGUCUGUGCCCGAAUGGAUGCUGCACAUUUUUUAUAUUCUUCAAAGCAAUCGAGGUUCAUUUGCCGAUGCUGCGUAUGCGAAGCAAAGCAGUGUCAUGCUGACGCGGAGAUGAAGACGUUGUAUCUGGCGGUGGUUCUGGAGAUAGCGCGGUUCGAUCCAGCUGUGGGCCGGACGUCACCCAGCAGAAAUGGCAGCGUGUUAUCACCAGCUACGAGGCGCGCAUACAGACAUUGUCCAGAAACAAUCACGUCAUCUCCAGAGCGCCACGCGACCACGAUGGUACUGCCAACGAUGGCCUGCUCAUCGACAGUGCUCCCCGCCAGCCGGCGGCGUUCCGCCAGCCAACGGGCUUCCGCCAGCCAACGGCGUUCUGCCCGCCGAUGGUGGCCCGACGACCGACGGUCGCUCGCCGGCCGAAGGUGAUCCGGUAGCCGAACGAGGCUCGCCGACCGACGCCGGCCCGCCCGCCGACGCACAGUGUGGCCAAACACUAGU